UGCAGUGCACGGUCCAUCCCUGAGGCGACACCCAGCUCAGGCCGUAUCGCAGCUGUGACCAUUUAAGCACCUGGUCGGUUUUUCUAAGGAAAUACAGAGAGAAAUUUACGAAGAAAAACCUACAUAUGCAGAAAAAAGAAGUGGACAUAUGGACUAUUCAUCAUUGGAAUAAUUUCCCCAGGGAAGUGGUGGAUUUCCCAACAUUGGACACUUUUAACGGUGCUGGGCCAUCCUGUCUAGACUGUGCUUUUGCCAAGAAAGUUUGAACCAGAUGGUCCUUAAGGUCCCUUCCAACCUGGUGUUCUAUGAUCCUAUGAUGUAAAUUGCAAGUCCACCUCCUACAGCUCCCAGCACAAGUUAUUUACUCAAUUUCUAAGGGCUAAAUGAAGGCUCUACUGAAAUAAUGGCAACAUUCUGAGACAUGGUUCCAAAACAGGGUAAUAAUCAUCAUAAAGCAAGGAGAGGUUUGAAAUUUUACAUUUUUUCAAGUUAACAGUAUUUCUACUUAAUAUAACUGGACAUUUGGUCUGGUAGGAUUUAGUUACAUACCAUUAGGAGGUAUUGUGUACAAUAACAAUGUUUAAAAGUCAAAAGUAAAAAAAAAGUAGAGUGUACAGUAAUACAGUGCUUAUUUACAAAAAUAGUGUCCUAAACAGAUCAGUAUAAAAACAGAAGUAACUGUGUUUCAUAUAGCUAUAUCGACAGCAAAAAUAUGUUGCUUUUCAUAAUCCAAUGGGCUUAAUUUUAAUUUUUACUUUUACUUGACAUAUCAUUAUGCCAGCCAAGAUGGCUAAGUAUGAAAACAGUAAGUUGGAACGUGUAAUUCCACAGAGCCAUUAGAUUGUCAAGGAAAUAGCUGUAGACAGGAUCCCCACCUUAUUUAUUUUAAAGCACAUGUGACUGCAUUUUAAAAUUUCAACACAUUGUUGAAAGGAGGCACAAAUACCAAGUACAUCUUUGUACAUCACUUUAUAGUAUUCACCGUGAAAUGGUUGCUCCAGCUCUGCAUAUAUUUCUGAAAGCAAGCUAGGAACUACUGGGAUCUGUAUUUUUUAAAAUGGUACCAGUAUGGGCAAACUAAGGCUUGUAUAUAUAAUGCACAAUAUCUACUCACUAACAUGAGAUGAUGAUUCAAUGGAAUUCAAUGGUUUCAAUGGAAUUAUUAACCUAUAUAGCCAAUAGAACAUGGAUUGUAAACACUCAGCAAUAUACUCCCCUGCUUAACAGCUAAACUUCUCAAACAAUAGAAAUUGCAAGUAAAACAAAAGAUAAUUUAAAAUUAGUCCUCAUGCUUUCAAUACAAACCCAGUCUCUUUGAGUCAAAUAAGUAUAAACUGGUUUUUUUAGCUUUCCCUUCAGUAAGUAUGAGAAUACAUGUUCUUUUGAAAAAAUAAUGAUAUUGUUAUCCAAAACUAUUACUAAGAAUAAGAGAAUGAAGUCUUUAGAAUUUCUUUCGCAGAAAACAAAAAUAUUUAAGACAGGUAGGAUUUAAUUUGGGUGAUAUUGACCAAAGAUCAUUGCAUAUAUGUAGCUCAGCACUAAAGUAAUUCCUGCUUCCCUCUGAAACUCUGUCAAAAAGUCUUCUUUACAGACUGUGUGUGUGUUGCUGCUGAAGGUUGUGUAGCAAGCAGUAGAAAUGCCUCAUUCCACUGCUGCUAAUGGGAAUGUGGGACUUGGAUUAGGUGGAAGAUGAAAACACAAACCAACCCUGCCUGCCUCACUUUCUGUGGUUUGGGAUUUUCACUGCACUUACACUUCACAGCAAUGAAAUGCAGAAUUCUCAAAUAGGUAUUAUUACGAAAUGUUUUCAGAAAUUGAUCUCUGAGCAAAGAGAAGACAUAUGCUACCAUUCCAGACAUAAAUCAUUGGAGGGAACUACCUGGAUUGUUUGUGAGAGAAGGACUUAUUUAAACAAGUACAUUUAUAAAGCAUUGUUUACCCCAAGGAACCUUCUACACAUGAAUGUCAGAGGAAACUGUAGAAGGUCAUAUAUCUCAGCUCUGUGAACCAGUUGUCUUCAGUGACAGGGGAUGUUUUGUAUAAAUAAGGCUUAAUCCUGCUCUGUGGCACGCUUACCUAAUGCUGACUCAUUUGCAAGGGCCACCUUCUAUAUGAAAAAGAGUCCAAAAUGUAUGUUUUAUGAUGAAGAAAACAUCAAUUUUUUUUUUCACGUUUUGUCUCCCUUAAAGGACUGACUCACUUACCAAAUCCCACAUACACUCAGGGUAGUCAGGUUUGGAAUUGAAGUUCCAUUUCUAAGCAAAGCUCCAUUAAGCUUGUUUGUUAACAAAUGCAAUUUUCUAUUCCAUUUCUUCAAAAUAUCUUCUUUGUCAUAUUCUUGCCUCUUUAAAUAUGCUUAUUUAUAGGCUGGCUACACAGACUCCCCUUUCACCUAGUUAACAGACUGCAACAUAUGGGAUGCUGCCUUCACCUCCCAUUGCGAGCAUCAGGAAAUCGAGCAGCACCUCUGCUGUAUUUACACAGGCAGGCUGGGGCUCUCCUGCUCUCACACUCCAGUCUUACUCCCCACUCUGCCACAUGGCACUGCACACUUGGGAUCUGUUGAACUCUCCUGUGAGAGGAACAUAAGGAGUCCUUGGAGGUUGCUCAUGGAAGCAAUAUCAAACCAGGCUCAAACCCCAUGGCCCUGGGAGUGCGUGAACAGGCCUGUAUGUUGUACCAGUUGCAUGUUCCUGGGUGUUGCUGAAGUAGUAGCAACUCCAUGGACACAUCCUGUCUCCUGCGCUCCAAAGUGUUACACCUGGUACUCCUGUAACCUGCUUUACACAUGCGACAGAAACUGGUCCCCAGUUUUGCAUGAUCCAGUUUACCUUUCAGUUUUAACUGCAGUUACUUCAUCGUGUCUGUGGAACCCAGUGUUGAGCACAUAUGCACUUACGUCUUGAACUCCUCCAGGAAAUCAAGUUUCUUAUGGCCUUGUUCCAGGAAAACAGGUUUCUUACUCCCUUAUAAUACGAACUCGGCUCCUUGUACAAGAAAGUACUUAACACUUUAAAAAAGCUUUUCCUGUGAUCUCAUUACUGUGCACACUGUGUUAUGUGUUAAUGGAAACCUCAUCAAUUACCGGCUGUUCAGCUACAUCCUGUGUAAUGCAGGGUCACCCUAUAGAGCUUAUAUGGAAUUAUGAACAAAAGGCCUAUUCUCUCCCACAUAAGCACAAACCCAAAUUAAUUUUGAGUCAGACUUGGCAGCAUUUCAAAUUUCUGCUGCCCAUGUAGUUAAAAAGAAUGACACUGAUGAAUAAAAUUAUUUUAUAAGAGCGCUGACUUACAUCCUAAAAAUGUUGACUCAUUUCGGCACCCAUUCCAUGGCUCAUUUUGCACAUGGAAGUCUCCUUUGUGUGAAGCCUUGCUUCCUCUCCUAGUUCUGACUUCAGCCUGGUGUUUGAUCUCACCCUAAGUGCCACUAAGUCACUAAGUGCCACUAAGUUUUUCCAUUUAUUCCAGCACUUGAUCUAUUUGCCCCAGCAUAGCUGAUUAUACGAAGAAAAAGUAGUAUGCUAUUAGCUAGAUAGUAUGAAAAUAAUUUCAUUGUUGUGCCUGGUUGUUUGACUACAUUUUCUCUGCUUUGUACUUCUUUCUUGGUGGAAUUUCUCACAUAUCUCAUUGCCUGAAGUCAGCCCUUGCUCUGAGCUGUCCCAUCUGUGCUGCUGCUUGACACUAACUUGAGGGAAUGCAGGAGAGAAUACCUUGGAUAGGGCUAUCAGGGGCAGUAAGACAGGACUGAGUCAGGCCUUCACUUGUCACUAGUAUUUUAACUGAAUUCCACCGACAGCUGGAAGUGCUCAGCUUUUCUAAAAUCUCUGCUGACAGCACACUGCAUGAGCGACUAAAAAAUAAAGGUAAGCAGCUUUACUGAACACAGGAAGAGGCUAAUCAGUGAAUUUUCCUAUUGAUUCAAAUGGCAGCAGAAUUAGACUGAUUCUCCAGCUGAAUUUUAAAUGCUGGGUAUUAAAUAUUUUUGCAAUGCAGGACUACUAUUUUUGCAUGGUUAACCCACACAUCAGAUAUUUUCACCUAUUCACAUGAAUCACUCAUUGAAAAUUAGUCCUCUAAUAACCUGUACCCUCACACGAUGCAAAAUCAGAACCAGCCACAGGGAAGAACUAUCAAGUGCUUUUAGAAAGCUAUUAGGAUGAAGGAAGCUCUUGAGUAAGUUUCCUUUCAAGCCUUGCAUAUUAUGAAUAACCCACACUGCUCUGUAUUAUGUGAAUAUUUACAAUUUCCAUUUCUUAGAUAACCUAAGGAAUCUAUGCACGGAAAUAUGGGGGAGCAGGGGGUGUUGGAGUGGUCAGAUCCAUUCAUAACUAUGAAUUAUUCAUUAUUCUUUGUUUUAUCAACAGUUUGGUGUUGGGACUGUAAAAUAUCAGUAGAGAAAAAAACAGUCAACCCUGAGGAAUUGUACAGAAACGAAAACCUAUUCUGGCAGAUGAUUUCCUAUGACUGCUUUCAUGGAAGUUGCCAGUGCACGGCACAGAUCUCCCAGCUUUGGUCAUGAGUGUUGAUGUAUGGGACUGCUGUCAAAACCUCUGUUCACGAGAGGUACAAGCUGAAUACUAAGUAUUGAAGCUGUUUUGCAAAAGGAGGAAUGGGCUUCACCUGGAGCCAGUUCACUCACUGUAAUAUCGUCUUAAUGGACUAUUCUCCCAACCAAUCUUAAAAGACCAAAACAAGCCUUUGCUUUCCUAUAAAAACACAGGCCUUGUUAAACACAGAUUACUGACUUUAAGUCCCUCUGUGCUGCUGCAGGAGUAUAAUUAGCACAGUUUCCAAAGGUUUAUUUUCCAGCAUUUUUUGCCUUUUUUUCCCUGAAAAGCUGGAUGCUGUAAUUUCAGAAUCCAAGUUAUAUGCAAUGGCCAGACUGAUUUUGAGGUUUCCUAUUUUCCUACGAAAACAUAAUUUUUCUUUCUUUUGCAUUUGCAAUUCAAUUUGUGAAUGAGUUUUCAACAGUUUUGUACAGCAGAGAAAACACUUUUUAAGGCAAGCAAAUGCACUAAGAGCAUUUCAUAUUUGGCAUCUUUCUAAAGCUGUAUCAGAGUAACAAGCUUCUGUUCUUGUUUCUAAAUACGUGAAGGUAAAGUCUACCCUUAAAGCAUAGUGCAGUUUCUUACUGUUAUUUAAAGUGUGAGAAUCCAUCUUAAGUCCAAAAGAAUCAAGGUUCUCAAAAACACAGUCUAUAAACAUAACUCUUGCUUUGUCUUUGCUCUUUCCAAUAACUUUUGAGUGAUUGUGACUACAUGUGACAGAGGCAGAAGUCACAGAGAUAAUGAGCUUCCUACAAGUGUGAUAAAAGCAGUCAAGCAGAUCAGAGCGAUUCUCUACAUGGCACCUGUAAGUGCCAGAGCCGAAGGACAAACUGUGCAUGUGCUCACACUGUUCAAACACCAGAGAAACCAUAUGGGGGAAGACACUCGGAAAUGCUCAAGCCAAGACAGAAGCUGCAAGCAAAGUGCAAAGCAUACAGCCUGCAAAAAACCCUCUGUCAGCUCCAGGACUCCUUAGAACAGUGCCCCUCCUUUUUACAGUGAGUUUACUAUCAAUGUCUUGAAUGGACACCAGACCGAGUCCCUAAUUUGUAAAUUGUAACAAAAGCAUUAUUUCCUGUAGCAUUAACAGACCUCCUAUCAUGGGGAAAGCUCAUUUAUAGUUACUAAAACAAAUGAAGGCUCGUUCUCAUGAUAAAAAUCAAAAUGUUCAAGAGUGAAUCUGUACAUGUGGAUCCUUCCAUUAAACCUGAACCCUGUCUUGGAAGUGAA